GACGAACGCUGGCGGCGCGCCUAACACAUGCAAGUCGAACGAGCGAGAGAGAGCUUGCUUUCUCGAGCGAGUGGCGAACGGGUGAGUAACGCGUGAGGCACCUGCCUCAAAGAGGGGGACAACAGUUGGAAACGACUGCUAAUACCGCAUAAGCCCACGACCCGGCAUCGGGUAGAGGGAAAAGGAGCAAUCCGCUUUGAGAUGGCCUCGCGUCCGAUUAGCUAGUUGGUGAGGUAACGGCCCACCAAGGCGACGAUCGGUAGCCGGACUGAGAGGUUGAACGGACACAUUGGGAGUGAGACACGGCCCAGACUCCUACGGGAGGCAGCAGUGGGGAAUAUUGCACAAUGGGGGAAACCCUGAUGCAGCGACGCCGCGUGGAGGAAGAAGGUCGUCGGAUUGUAAACUCCUGUUGUUGAGGAAGAUAAUGACGGUACUCAACAAGGAAGUGACGGCUAACUACGUG
rnacentral:rRNA from 1 species